CCUAAACACCGCACGUGAUCUUCAUAAUUUUAAAUUCGUAUUUUACAGGAUCGUAUUCUCUAUCGAUUCGUUUUAAUGAAAUAAUUGUCUGGAGAAAAUAACUUUAUUAAAACUUUCUGAAGUAAAAGAAAAGACUAUAUAUAUUUAUAUUAAAAAAUUUGCAAUUAUCUAUUUAAAAUAAUUUAACAAAUACAUCAAUUAUUGGAGAAAAUGGUUGAAGCCAUCUUUAUCUUGUGGAUUUGGUCAAUAGUUUUCGUACAAAUGAUUAAUUCAAUGCAAGGUAUUGCUGUUAAGAAAAAUAAUUCAAAAACAAAUGCUCUUCAAUCAAGUUUGUACGAUGAUAAAGAAAAGAUAAAAUACAGUGGAUUCAAUCAAAUAGAAGAAGAAGAUAUUCUAAAUGAAUUCUAUUCUGUUAAGGAUACGUGGUCCGGAUAUAAUAUUUCGAACCUGGUAAAACCGGUAUGGAAUGAUGAAUUAGCAAAACUGGCCAAGGAUUGGGGCGAUCAGUGUAAAAUGAAAUUCGGUCCGUCAACCUGUAAUAAUUUUUAUAAUCAGAGUCGAGGACUAUUUUCUAAUAGUUAUGAAGAUAUAUUUAAAAGUUGGAAAUCACAGAAAUUCUUCUACGAUCAUUUAAAUAACAGUUGUAAAGGUCCUUGUGACGAAUAUAAGCUGAUGAUGUGGGCGGAAGCAUACGCUAUAGGUUGUUCAAAAUCAUCUUGUGAGAAAUUAGGAUACAAAUAUUUAAUGGUUUGCAAUUUUUAUCCACCAAUGGAUAUGAAUAUGCCCCCAUUUAAGAUAGGGAAAGUAUGUUCUAAUUGUCCAGCUAAUUUUACUUGCAACCAAGAAAUGAUAAAAGCAGUAAAAUAGUACCGAAAGAAACGUUUGAGUGCAUAAAAAUUGAAUCAUCAUCUAUGCCCACAUCGGGAUUUCGACGUCAAUAUGAAAUUCAGAAGAACGUAUUAUUUACUGCAGG
rnacentral:misc_RNA from 1 species